UAAUACCUGAAAGGAAUACGGUCAGCUCAAAUUUUGGAUGCAUAUUUUUUUCCUUUGUAGUUGGUGUGUUGAAAAGUACGAUAUCCUGGGAAUUGAGAGGAUUCUUCAGUUAGCUUAGAGAUCUGAGACAGUUUACAUCAGUUGAGUUUAAAUCGAAGACUUCUUCAAAGCCAAGUUUCAGUUUUUGUCAAUUGCAGCCUCAUUUGUGUAGAUGAAGGCGAGACUUAGGGAUCCAAAUGUCGUCCGUCAUCUGUCAGGUGUCCAACCGUCGUCUGUCAUAAAACUUAAUGACACAUAACUCCAUAACCGUUCUGUCAAUGCUCAAGACUUUUGAAAGAACAGUGUAUGUUUUCUUUCUCUAUGGUUUUGUUGGGUGCAUCUAGCACAAUUUGUGCAAUUUGUGAUAAAACACAAGUGAAACUAACAAUUCUUCUGUCCUUGUAGUACUGUUUUGUGACUUUCUUGUGUUUGUAAUUUUCUAUUCUUUGUGUUUUCUAGUACAUGGCAGUCUAGUGUUAAGGACACUCAGGAAUCAUUCUGUGUAGAAGUUUAUGUGGAAAUCACUAACCUUGCCUGGUUCUGGCAUGAAAGAAAUACUGAUAGGGCUGUAAAUAAUGAAAGAAGUACUGGCAAGGCUGUCAAUACUGAAGUGAAAUGAAAUACUGAAUGAAAUAGUGUACUGUCAAGACUGCAUUGAAUACCGGUAAAAUAAGGAAGCAACUUUAUCUCUAGUGAUAUAUAAAUUACAUGCUUUAAGUGACAUAAAUUCAAAGACCAAAAAGAAAAAAGUGAGAAAGAAAGAAGUAGAGUAGUUGGAUAGAAGAUAUUUGAUUAUAGAGUCUUUUAACUUAAAAUAAAAAGAAUAGAGUUUGAAAAAUUACAAAAGAGUAAGUAAAAUUGAAGUGAAGAGGAUGAGUAACCUAGAGUAGUUUAAAAGAGCAUAUUUGAUUACAGAGAGGUUUUUUUAAAUAGGUGUAACCUUUUAAUUACAAACAGUGAGGAAGAUUGAUGUAAAAGAGUAAGGUUUCGAAGUUUCAGAGCUUCAAAAAAGGGGGGGGGGGUUGGCUCUUAACUCUAUAUAGCCCUUGGGGGCCUAAAGGCCCCCCCCCCUCAACAUUUUUCGUGAUAAUUUCUAAAUGCAAAAAAAUAAUAUGCUGAAAUUUCAUGACUUUUUUCUUUCACAUCUCACGCACAUUUUAAGAUCCUGUUUGCGAAAAUCAGGGGUACACUUGUGAAGAUAUAGCACAUAUUCAUGACCAAUGUCACCGAAAAUGGCAAUUUCCAUCGACUUUUGUGUGUACAAUGUAUGGGUUUUACAAGAAGUGUUGU